rnacentral:tRNA from 3 species
GCCCCAGUAGCUUAGCUUUAAAGCGCCGGUCUUGUAAACCGGAGAUCGGAGGUUAAAGUCCUCCCUGAGGCC